rnacentral:piRNA from 1 species
UUACUGACUGAUUGCGUGCCAUCUCUGC